rnacentral:rRNA from 1 species
GACGAACGCUGGCGGCGUGCUUAACACGUGCAAGUCGAACGGAAAGGCCCUGCUUUUGUGGGGUGCUCGAGUGGCGAACGUGUGAGUAACACGUGAGUAACCUGCCCUUGACUUUGGGAUAACUUCAGGAAACUGGGGCUAAUACCGGAUAGGAGCUCCUGCUGCAUGGUGGGGGUUGGAAAGUUUCGGCGGUUGGGGAUGGACUCGCGGCUUAUCAGCUUGUUGGUGGGGUAGUGGCUUACCAAGGCUUUGACGGGUAGCCGGCCUGAGAGGGUGACCGGCCACAUUGGGACUGAGAUACGGCCCAGACUCCUACGGGAGGCAGCAGUGGGGAAUAUUGCACAAUGGGCGGAAGCCUGAUGCAGCAACGCCGCGUGCGGGAUGACGGCCUUCGGGUUGUAAACCGCUUUCGCCUGUGACGAAGCGUGAGUGACGGUAAUGGGUAAAGAAGCACCGGCUAACUACGUG